rnacentral:lncRNA from 1 species
AUGCAGACAUAACAUAAUUUCUGAAUCUUUGUAUUUCAAACCCCAAGAGUCUAGCUGCUGAAGAAUCUGAGCUACGAUUUCGACAAUUAACAAAAGAAUACCAAGCCCUCCAAAGAGCAUAUGCCCUCUUGCAGGAACAGACUGGAGGCAUCAUAGAUGCUGAAAGAGAAGCCAAGGCACAAGAGCAGCUCCAGGCAGAGGUGCUGAGGUACAGGGCCAAAAUCGAAGAUUUGGAAGCAACGCUGGCUCAGAAAGGGCAGGUAGGUGCUCAGUGCUAGCUUUUCCGCAGUGGCAGCUGGUUCACUCCAACUC